GCCGGGGUGGCGAAAUUGGUAGCCGCGAUAGGUUUAGGACCUAUUGCCCGUAAGGGCUUGGAGGUUCGAGUCCUCUCUCCGGCA
rnacentral:tRNA from 3 species